UACGGAGGGGGCUAGCGUUGUUCGGAAUUACUGGGCGUAAAGCGCGCGUAGGCGGAUCUGCAAGUCGGGGGGUGAAAUCCCGAGGCUCAACCUCGGAACUGCCUUCGAUACUGCGGGUCUCGAGUCCGGGAGAGGUGAGUGGAAUUCCUAGUGUAGAGGUGAAAUUCGUAGAUAUUAGGAAGAACACCAGUGGCGAAGGCGGCUCACUGGCCCGGUACUGACGC
rnacentral:rRNA from 1 species